rnacentral:rRNA from 1 species
GUACCAGACUCCUACGGGAGGCAGCAGUGGGGAAUAUUGGGCAAUGGGCGCAAGCCUGACCCAGCAACGCCGCGUGAAGGAAGAAGGCUUUCGGGUUGUAAACUUCUUUUGUCAGGGACGAAGCAAGUGACGGUACCUGACGAAUAAGCCACGGCUAACUACGUGCCAGCAGCCGCGGUAAUACGUAGGUGGCAAGCGUUAUCCGGAUUUACUGGGUGUAAAGGGCGUGUAGGCGGGGAAGCAAGUCAGAUGUGAAAACCACGGGCUCAACCUGUGGCCUGCAUUUGAAACUGUUUUUCUUGAGUACUGGAGAGGCAGACGGAAUUCCUAGUGUAGCGGUGAAAUGCGUAGAUAUUAGGAGGAACACCAGUGGCGAAGGCGGUCUGCUGGACAGCAACUGACGUUGAGGCCCGAAAGCGUGGGGAGCAAACAGGAUUAGAUACCCUUGUAUAG